AUACAUGCAAGUCGAACGCUUUGUGGUUCAACUGAUUUGAAGAGCUUGCUCAGAUAUGACGAUGGACAUUGCAAAGAGUGGCGAACGGGUGAGUAACACGUGGGAAACCUACCUCUUAGCAGGGGAUAACAUUUGGAAACAGAUGCUAAUACCGUAUAACAAUGACAACCGCAUGGUUGUUAUUUAAAAGAUGGUUCUGCUAUCACUAAGAGAUGGUCCCGCGGUGCAUUAGCUAGUUGGUAAGGUAAUGGCUUACCAAGGCGAUGAUGCAUAGCCGAGUUGAGAGACUGAUCGGCCACAAUGGGACUGAGACACGGCCCAUACUCCUACGGGAGGCAGCAGUAGGGAAUCUUCCACAAUGGGCGAAAGCCUGAUGGAGCAACGCCGCGUGUGUGAUGAAGGGUUUCGGCUCGUAAAACACUGUUGUAAGAGAAGAAUGACAUUGAGAGUAACUGUUCAAUGUGUGACGGUAUCUUACCAGAAAGGAACGGCUAAAUACGUGCCAGCAGCCGCGGUAAUACGUAUGUUCCAAGCGUUAUCCGGAUUUAUUGGGCGUAAAGCGAGCGCAGACGGUUAUUUAAGUCUGAAGUGAAAGCCCUCAGCUCAACUGAGGAAUUGCUUUGGAAACUGGAUGACUUGAGUGCAGUAGAGGAAAGUGGAACUCCAUGUGUAGCGGUGAAAUGCGUAGAUAUAUGGAAGAACACCAGUGGCGAAGGCGGCUUUCUGGACUGUAACUGACGUUGAGGCUCGAAAGUGUGGGUAGCAAACAGGAUUAGAUACCCUGGUAGUCCACACCGUAAACGAUGAGUGCUAGGUGUUUGAGGGUUUCCGCCCUUAAGUGCCGCAGCUAACGCAUUAAGCACUCCGCCUGGGGAGUACGACCGCAAGGUUGAAACUCAAAGGAAUUGACGGGGACCCGCACAAGCGGUGGAGCAUGUGGUUUAAUUCGAAGCAACGCGAAGAACCUUACCAGGUCUUGACAUCCCUUGACAACUCCAGAGAUGGAGCGUUCCCUUCGGGGACAAGGUGACAGGUGGUGCAUGGUUGUCGUCAGCUCGUGUCGUGAGAUGUUGGGUUAAGUCCCGCAACGAGCGCAACCCUUAUUACUAGUUGCCAGCAUUCAGUUGGGCACUCUAGUGAGACUGCCGGUGACAAACCGGAGGAAGGUGGGGAUGACGUCAAAUCAUCAUGCCCCUUAUGACCUGGGCUACACACGUGCUACAAUGGCGUAUACAACGAGUUGCCAACCCGCGAGGGUGAGCUAAUCUCUUAAAGUACGUCUCAGUUCGGAUUGUAGGCUGCAACUCGCCUACAUGAAGUCGGAAUCGCUAGUAAUCGCGGAUCAGCACGCCGCGGUGAAUACGUUCCCGGGUCUUGUACACACCGCCCGUCACACCAUGAGAGUUUGUAACACCCAAAGCCGGUGGGGUAACCUUCGGGAGCCAGC
rnacentral:rRNA from 1 species